rnacentral:lncRNA from 7 species
AGAUAGCCUCUCAGGCAGGUAGCAUGCGUAAGGCGCUGCCUCUGCUGUUUCUGUGUGUGAAGUAGUAGUCCUCAGAAAUAGUGCUUUGGGAAACUGGCAGAAGCUCUGGUGUUUAGUGUUUCAGUCUGAAGUUAAGAAGUUAGUGAGAGGGACCAGAAAACAAAAGAGCUAACCAACUCCACUCACUAAGUAGUGAAAUAGAAGUUCCUUCUGCAAUAAAGCCAGUAACACUUUUCGUCACAAGGUGGUAGCAGAUGUGGAAGUGCAUGCUACAUGGAGGAGGAAGCAGAAAGAACAGAAUCUUCAACUGAGAGACAUUUUCUCAGACAUAUACUUGUUCUGAGGGAUCUCAUCCUCUUCAUCUAAGAAACCUACUGUCUCUAUUUCGGGGCUCCCCAGUUACAAGGAAGAUAGUAGCUUACUGGACCAAGUCAGUGGAUGAUCUCUGCUAUGAUUAGGAGUCUGAAGUCCAAGACAUACAAGGAGAAGUUGAGAACCUAUCUUUGAAAGCUUUGUUUGUUCAGAGAGCCCUGUCCAGCUGCUCAGAAAUGGAUGAUCUCCAUGUGAUAAUGUGAUAAUGUGAUGAACUGUAGUAUCCUGACAUAAAAUUCCAUUGCUGAAAGAAGGAAAGAUCAGAAUUUCUUGGAGAAGAGAGGCUUCUUGGAGAAGUGUUACUAGUGUUAAAAGCCAAAGUGUUUGAUUUUCACAUCAGUCUCCCUGAAAACACUGCUGUUAAUAACUCUCAGUUUGAAGAGUCCUCUGUCAUGAACAGUGAAGAUCUUCAUUAGUUACAAGCACUGAAGACGUGAAGAAGGUUCCUGGUUGCAAAUAUAGCAAAGUGGACAUCUUCAGGAGUUCUAAUUAAUGCUUAUAUGAAAUAGAUAAAAAAAAAGAGAGAGAGAGAAAUAGUACACUGGAGUAUACCUGAGUGCUAUUCAUGGAACAAUUACAUAAUGAAAGAACAAUAGGAUUUUCAGCUUUUCACAUUUUCUUGAGACAUUAUGAAGAAUCUGGCAGUGAUGUGUAUAAGAACAGUAAAUUGAGAAAAAUGGUAAGAUAAAAUGCAGUUUCAUUACAGUGGCAUUAGCAGUAAGCUAAUCUCAGUGGUAACUUGCAUGUUGUAAUUACUAGAUUCACAGUGCAAUGAUUAAUGGCAAAUGCAAAGCUGAAACAAUUAUGUUUCCUAAAUAUGUCAUACUCUAUCUGAAACUGUAGUAAUUAAAAUGUUU